GACCUGAUAGCAUAAUUGGAUAGUGUACCUGCUUAACUUGGCGAAGUCAUAUAACAUGUCAUCUAGCAGGAGAUCCCCGUUCGAUCCGGGGUCAUCG